AAAAGCACUCUGUGUGGGGAACAUGAGAGCCAGACCAAAGCUCAGAGGAACCAACGAGGAACUAAACGUAAACAUGAACCUGAACCUGGACCCAGCUGUGUGUCCCUAAAGAGUGACGUGUCUAAGGAUGUUGGUGUUAACUUUAAAUCAGGCGUGUGUCAUCCUGCAGAGAGGUAAUGUGUGUGUAAAUGUUGUUGUGACUCAGUGUUUGUGAAUAAAUCCUCCAUCAUGUUUAAUGUCAGCUCUGUUUCACACACAUUUCUAUGUUUAUAUGUGCAGCGGUGUGUGUUGGAGUGUUUCCACAAACACAGCAGAUACUCAGAGAUUAUUUUUAGGAAGGGGAGAUGUUCUCAAACUCUCUGUCCUAAAACUCUUCACUCAGUCUGAUCCCCACUUCCUGCUCCUCAGCAGUGCUGCCAUGUUCAUCAACCAGGACAGAAAUGAA